UACGAAGGGGGCUAGCGUUGUUCGGAAUUACUGGGCGUAAAGCGCACGUAGGCGGAUUUGUAAGUUAGGGGUGAAAUCCCGGGGCUCAACCUCGGAACUGCCUUUGAUACUGCAAAUCUCGAGUCCUGAAGAGGUGAGUGGAAUUCCUAGUGUAGAGGUGAAAUUCGUAGAUAUUAGGAAGAACACCAGUGGCGAAGGCGGCUCACUGGUCCGGUACUGACGCUGAGGUGCGAAAGCGUGGGGAGCAAACAGG
rnacentral:rRNA from 1 species